rnacentral:sRNA from 1 species
ACAACAAGACGGGUCCGUCCACGCAGGCAA